GAGACAGAGUCUCACUCUGUCACCCAGGCUGGAGUGCAGUGGUGUGAUCCCGGCUCACUGCAAGCUCCGCCUCCCGGGUUCACGCCAUUCUCUUGCCUCAGUCUCCCGAGUAGAUGGGACUACAGGCGCCCGCCACCACGCCCGGCUAAUUUUUGUAUUUUUAGUAGAGACAGGGUUUCACCAUGUUAGCCAGGAUGGUCUCGAUCUCCUGGUGAUCCGCCCGCCAUGGCCUCCCAAAGUGCUGGGAUUACAGGUGUGAGCCACCGCGCCUGGCCCAGUGAUUAUUUCUUUAGUUCAUUUCCACAACCCACACUGUGUGCCAUGCUGAGACUGGCAAAGGAAAAGUAAAGCAGUAGGUAAGUGCCUUGUGCCAAGCAGGCACUUUCGUCCUGGUAAACAAAGUGCUGAUGGUCCUCAGGACCUCAUUUUAUCAUUGAGAGAAUGAAGGGCUUGUGUGCCCCAAAAAACCGCCUCCCGCUGACCUGAGAAAGAUGAAGAUGGCUUUGCGGUAAGACACUCCGUCAACCUGCUCGUAGUAGUCUAGAAACGGCUUGAUUGCGUCAAUGAUCCCGGGGUGCAAUUUAUCCAUCUCGUCAAAUAUGAAAACAGAGUUCGCACAUGCACUCACAUUACCGCGGAUCCACUUCUGUAACUGGUCCUGGACCAACCAUGAAAGAAGAAACAGGAUGCGAAGCUCAAAGGGUGCACCAAGAGGCGCGCAGGCUCCAUCUGCUCCUCAUGCACUGAAGGACGAGGUCAGAGCUCUUAGAAUGGCACCCUCACCCCCACUCGCUAGGUAGCAGCUUUUCUAAAACCUUAUCUCUAAAAAGU
rnacentral:lncRNA from 1 species